rnacentral:rRNA from 1 species
GAUGAACGCUGGCGGCGUGCCUAAUACAUGCAAGUAGAACGCUGAAGGAGGAGCUUGCUCUUCUGGAUGUGUUGCGAACGGGUGAGUAACGCGUAGGUAACCUGCCUGGUAGCGGGGGAUAACUAUUGGAAACGAUAGCUAAUACCGCAUGACAACAGUUAUUGCAUGAUAACUGUUUAAAAGGGGCAACUGCUCCACUACCAGAUGGACCUGCGUUGUAUUAGCUAGUUGGUGAGGUAACGGCUCACCAAGGCGACGAUACAUAGCCGACCUGAGAGGGUGAUCGGCCACACUGGGACUGAGACACGGCCCAGACUCCUACGGGAGGCAGCAGUAGGGAAUCUUCGGCAAUGGACGGAAGUCUGACCGAGCAACGCCGCGUGAGUGAAGAAGGUUUUCGGAUCGUAAAGCUCUGUUGUAAGAGAAGAACGAGUGUGAGAGUGGAAAGUUCACACUGUGACGGUAUCUUACCAGAAAGGGACGGCUAACUACGUG